CUCUCAGACUCUUGAGCGCCGGCCCCAGGAUGACAAACACAUCCCAGGCGCGCCGAUCUCUUCCAACUUUCCUCCCCUGCUAAGUCGGGGUGGAGCGGCGGUUCCGACACAAGGCGGGCCCUGAUGGCCGGUCCCGCCGCUUCGAAGCACAAAGGGAACGAGGCCGCGGACCGCGCGCCAGCGAAAGCUCUGCUUUCUGUACGCCGCAGUAAAUCGCGGAGUUAGCGGAUUUCUUGUUCGCCAGAAGGCUGGGCUCCAAGGCAGAUCACCGCCCACCCGCCCCUGGCUUCUCCCCCAAGCUAGGGGACCCGAGAGCGAGUUGGAUACCCGGAAUGAAGGCCCCCGAGAGAGCCGGAUGGAUGCCAGCGUCCAGGGCGCAGGGAGUCCGGGGUGACUGUCCCUCUCCGCCAGCAGCAGCAGGUGGGCGAGAGACAGGCCUUGGACAUCUGCACGUCUCCGGCCCGGCCUCCCUUCCACCAACUCCCCGCCAGACGGCGAGGGAGGAGGCACUGGGGACCCAGUACUACGGGGGUAGCCUUUCUCUAGAGAGGUAGUGGGCAAGAGCUGCCAGACGGAAAAGCAGCUACAUCGGAGUAGGUCUUCGGACUCCACUACACCCCCUCCCGCAAUGCCUGGCUGCCUCUUUCUCGGGGCUUUGCAUUAUCCGCAGCUCGCCCCGCCAGGCCGGUGGUGGUGGAGAGUGCGGGUCCUCUUCCCCUUCGCACCCACUCUCGCAUCCGCCCACGCUCCACUGCUAACAUUGCGGAGCAGUAACCAACCCCACCACCGUUUGUUCAGCGAGGCGCUGGCAAGGCAAACACACACAACCGAGUCACAGGCCGAGCCCUUGCCCACGAAGGCCACACAUUUAGAAUACAAAACAGACCCUUUGCCUGUCUCUCCACACCGCGCCGCCACAAGCCACAGAAGCACUCGAACUCUGGGACAGACAGGGGCGCUGGUGAACCAGGACAGGGGCUGGCACAGUGUUGGGCACUCCGCUGGGGCCCAGUAGAUCGGGGAUUUUGUGGCCUUUUAUAAUGAGGUCACACGGAAGCCGAAGUAUGCCUAUACACAAAGUUUCCCUCAAUGACUCUGACGGGAGAGAUACACUUUUAUUUCCUGAGCUCCAAACCCUCCACACAAACCCACUCUCCACAACCGCACACUCUCCGCAGCGCGACUUCACGCACGCGCGCUGACUCCUCCCCUCCGUCAGUUCCCUCCAGGCUCCGCCCCUCAGGCAGACGUCCUCCUACAACCGCUCAAUCCUCCCGGCCCCAUCCCUCCCGGCUUUCACCUCUAAUUGGACGCUGGCCUCUAUUGGCUCCGCCCUUCGGCGACGUGAGCCCGCUUUCCUCCGAGUAACGGCGCCGAGGGGGCGGGGCUGGGCGGGGCGACGGCGCGCUAUUGUCAUGGAGACGGGAAGCCGGCGGCGGCGGUGGCGGGAACAGCCAGGCUGAGGUGGCAGCGAGCCGGCCGAGACUGAGGCGAGGCCGAGCGCCCUGGAGCGCGCGGAGCCGGCCAGUGGCGGCCUCUCAGGCAGCCAAGGGGCAGUGUCUUCCGGGGCUCGGGCAACGCCCGGGUGGUCGCGGGGAGUGCCCCGAAGCGUCCCCGCUCUGCUCGCAUCGCUCCCGCCUCUCGCGGCCCCUCAGCUCCCCAGCGUCCGCCCCCCGGCUCCGCCCGCCGCCGGCUCCGCCCGCCGCCGCCGCCGCCGCCGCAGCCCUUCGCGCUAAAGGUCGGUAGCGGCCCGCGCGCGCCGCCCGCCGGGAGCUCGCGCCAGCCACGAGGGAGCGUCCGCGGCCCGCGCGCCCGCGCCGUGGAGGAGAGCUCAUGAUUUCCUGGAAGCUGGCUGUCCAUCAGUGUGUAUGUAAGAUGUGUUUUAAGUAUGAUGUUUCCGUAAUACAUUUGGAUGUUUUCAGCUAAGCUCACUUCUGAACUAUGGGGUUCCUCCAAAUGUUGACUGAAAUUUGUCCUUGUGCACCCCCAGGCUCAUCUGCAAAAUCUACAGUCCAUAAUGGAGCUACUGUACUGGCUAUUGGAAGAAGGAGAUUCUGAAGAUAGGGAGUUCAUCAAGAAGCCAAAGAUCUUAUGCCUGACUAAGUAUCUCCAUUAUCUAACUUGAUUCAGCUAUCAGUCUGAAAUUUCCUGUGGUCUGUUCAGUCUAGAUGCAAAGGCCAUGGAAAAAUCAAGUGCUCAAGUGGUUUAAAUAUGUUUUGGAUGUUCUUAUUUAUAGAUUACAGUAUUUUUCCACUUAAAAUCCACAGUUGUCAUGCAGAAGAAGGUUAUGCCCUUCUAGAUCACCAAUUUUAUUUGACGUGCUUAGCGUUGUAAUGUAUUACCAAAUGCUAUCUGUUUUAAUCAAAGUAUAGAAAAAAUAAAAUCAAUUUUAUAUGUU